ACGGCAGCACGGAGAGCUUGCUCUCUGGUGGCGAGUGGCGAACGGGUGAGUAAUAUAUCGGAACGUAUCCAAUAAUGGGGUAUAACGAGUCGAAAGAUUCGCUAAUACCGCAUACGCCCUACGGGAGAAAGCAGGGGAUCGUAAGACCUUGCGUUAAUGGAGCGGCCGAUAUCUGAUUAGCUUGUUGGUGAGGUAAAGGCUCACCAAGGCGACGAUCAGUAGCUGGUUUGAGAGAACGACCAGCCACACUGGAACUGAGACACGGUCCAGACUCCUACGGGAGGCAGCAGUGGGGAAUUUUGGACAAUGGGGGCAACCCUGAUCCAGCCAUUCCGCGUGAGUGAAGAAGGCCUUCGGGUUGUAAAGUUCUUUCGCAAGGGAAGAAAACUUAUGAUUGAAUAAAUCAUGAGGUUGACGGUACCUUAAUAAGAAGCACCGGCUAACUACGUGCCAGCAGCCGCGGUAAUACGUAGGGUGCGAGCGUUAAUCGGAAUUACUGGGCGUAAAGCGUGCGCAGGCGGUUUU
rnacentral:rRNA from 1 species